GCCGCAGUAACUCAGCCUGGGAGAGUGUGAGACUGAAGAUCUCAAAGUCGCCGGUUCAAAUCCGGUCUGCGGCA
rnacentral:tRNA from 2 species